UACGUAGGGUGCGAGCGUUAAUCGGAAUUACUGGGCGUAAAGCGUGCGCAGGCGGUUUGUUAAGACAGAUGUGAAAUCCCCGGGCUUAACCUGGGAACUGCAUUUGUGACUGGCAAGCUAGAGUAUGGCAGAGGGGGGGUAGAAUUCCACGUGUAGCAGUGAAAUGCGUAGAGAUGUGGAGGAAUACCGAUGGCGAAGGCAGCCCCCUGGGCCAAUACUGACGCUCAUGCACGAAAGCGUGGGGAGCAAACAGGAUUAGA
rnacentral:rRNA from 1 species